UCAAUUCAGACUGUCUCAAAUCC
rnacentral:siRNA from 1 species